GUGUCAGCAGCCGCGGUAAGACAGAGGGUGCAAACGUUGUUCGGAAUUACUGGGCGUAAAGCGCGUGUAGGCGGCAAGCCAAGUCGGGUGUGAAAGCCCUGGGCUCAACCCAGGAAGUGCAUUCGAUACUGGCAAGCUAGAGUCCCGGAGAGGAUGGUGGAACUCUCGGUGUAGAGGUGAAAUUCGUAGAUAUCGAGAAGAACACCGGUGGCGAAGGCGGCCAUCUGGACGGUGACUGACGCUGAGACGCGAAAGCGUGGGGAGCAAACAGGAUUAGAUACCCUGGUAGUCC
rnacentral:rRNA from 1 species